UACGUAGGGGGCAAGCGUUGUCCGGAUUUAUUGGGCGUAAAGAGCGUGUAGGCGGCCAGGUAGGUCAGCUGUGAAAACUCGAGGCUCAACCUCGAGACGUCGGUUGAAACCACCUGGCUAGAGUCCGGAAGAGGAGAGUGGAAUUCCUGGUGUAGCGGUGAAAUGCGCAGAUAUCAGGAAGAACACCCGUGGCGAAGGCGGCUCUCUGGGACGGUACUGACGCUGAGACGCGAAAGCCAGGGGAGCAAACGGG
rnacentral:rRNA from 1 species